GUAUAGUAGUGCGUGUGCACAACAAUAAUUUCAUUACAUUCGAGUGUGUGUAAAAAUCCUCUGCCAGCCGAAGCUAGCAAGAGGCCAGAAGUUCACAAGGGUAUUGGAUGAAAGUCACCCACGUGCACUUGCCGGGGCCAGCACUGAAGGUAACGAUUCACAAUCAAUAAUGAUCCUUCCGCAGGUUCACCUACGGAAA
rnacentral:misc_RNA from 1 species